CAUAUUUUUCCAUGGUCUCAUGGACAUCUAAAGCACUUUGUAAAAAAUUCCGAAGUUUUUUUCUCUAUUCCCCCCCCACCUUUUUUUUUUUUUUUUUCUCGGACGGAGUCUCACUCUGUCACUCAGGCUGGAGUGUAGUGGUGCAAUCUUGGCUCACUGCAACCUCUGUCUCCCGGGUUCAAGUGAUUCUCCUGCCUCAGCCUCCUGAGUAGCUGGGAUUACAGGCACUCACCACCAUGCCUGACUAAUUUUUGUACUUUUUUUUUCUUUCUGGAGAGAUGGGGUUUCACCAUUCAGGUGAGGCUGGUCUCGAACUCCUGACCUCAGGUGAUCCACCCUCCUUAGCCUUCCAAAGUGCUGGAAUUACAGGCGUGAACCACUGCAACAGGACCCAAUUUUUUUUUUCAAGUUAUGUUCCCAAUAGGUUACAUCGUGCCUUUUCUCUUCCACAUGACGGAGAUCUUCAAAGUAAGCAUCUUUCAAAGCAGUGACAAGCAAAAUACAGCUGGAAGAUCAGUAACUCUCUGUUAAGCAGCUUUGCUUGCUGUCAUUGUUGACUGCCAGGGGGUGGUGAUCCAUGUCAGUCACUAAAAUGACACCUUGGCAAGACUGCUGUCUGCUCCUGGAGUUUUUGUGUAUGGAAACAAUUUUAAGGUAAUGAGAUUUUCAUAUAUUUCUAGCACCUUUCACAGGGU
rnacentral:lncRNA from 1 species